AUUUGAACGGUUAGUGCUAGGCUUGGAUUUUUAUUUUUACUUCAAAGUCUUCCGCCGCUGUUUAUCGUUCGUUUUCAUCUCGUUUCUACCGCUUUCUGGAUUGAUUCUUUUCUCACUUCAAAAUCAUUAUAACAGACUUGCAAUUAGCUGCAGAAGCUUUGUUUCGCGAGUGUCGGUUAUAACACUGAGUAUUCUACUUUUUGCCGGCUGACCCACUUCGCGUAUUGGAUUCAGUCUCACUUCAAAAUUAGAUCCUCAAGGCACCCCCACACCGUGCGCAGGAAUUUAAAAGUUCAGGGAAACCUGGGAGCCGAGUAUACGUAUAAUUGCUGUGCCCGCGUUUAUCAGAUUGUCGUCGAUUGUUGAACUCGAAUUAAUGAACGAAUACCCUGAAGGAGUCCAGCCGACCACGGAAUUACUUCGGUAUUCGCUCCGACUUCGAUCUCGGUAUGCAGUCAAAUUAGAAAGUGUGAACUUCCGGUGUUCCGUGGGCGGAUACCUGGGCGUUCGACUACGUACGUCCGGAAAAUAAACAGCAUUGAAUGGAGUAGCCUGGGUGGAAUAACUUCUUA
rnacentral:lncRNA from 1 species